UCACUAUGAAGCUUAAAGCGUUAACCUUUUAAGUUAAAGUUAGAAAAUAAUAUUUUCCAUAGUGAU
rnacentral:tRNA from 1 species